rnacentral:rRNA from 1 species
GUCACUGGAAUCGAUUUAGCCAUGCUAGUUGUGCGGGUUUAGACCCGCAGCGGAAAGCUCAGUAACACGUGGCCAAGCUACCCUGUGGACGGGAAUACUCUCGGGAAACUGAGGCUAAUCCCCGAUAACGCUUUGCUCCUGGAAGGGGCAAAGCCGGAAACGCUCCGGCGCCACAGGAUGCGGCUGCGGUCGAUUAGGUAGACGGUGGGGUAACGGCCCACCGUGCCCAUAAUCGGUACGGGUUGUGAGAGCAAGAGCCCGGAGACGGAAUCUGAGACAAGAUUCCGGGCCCUACGGGGCGCAGCAGGCGCGAAACCUUUACACUGUACGAAAGUGCGAUAAGGGGACUCCGAGUGUGAAGGCAUAGAGCCUUCACUUUUGUACACCGUAAGGUGGUGCACGAAUAAGGACUGGGCAAGACCGGUGCCAGCCGCCGCGGUAAUACCGGCAGUCCGAGUGAUGGCCGAUCUUAUUGGGCCUAAAGCGUCCGUAGCUGGCUGAACAAGUCCGUUGGGAAAUCUGUCCGCUUAACGGGCAGGCGUCCAGCGGAAACUGUUCAGCUUGGGACCGGAAGACCUGAGGGGUACGUCUGGGGUAGGAGUGAAAUCCUGUAAUCCUGGACGGACCGCCGGUGGCGAAAGCGCCUCAGGAGAACGGAUCCGACAGUGAGGGACGAAAGCUAGGGUCUCGAACCGGAUUA